UAAGGGCGCACGGUGGAUGCCUUGGCACUAGAAGCCGAUGAAGGACGUUACUAACGACGAUAUGCUUUGGGGAGCUGUAAGUAAGCUUUGAUCCAGAGAUUUCCGAAUGGGGAAACCCAGCAUGAGUUAUGUCAUGUUAUCGAUAUGUGAAUACAUAGCAUAUCAGAAGGCACACCCGGAGAACUGAAACAUCUUAGUACCCGGAGGAAGAGAAAGAAAAUUCGAUUCCCUUAGUAGCGGCGAGCGAAACGGGAAGAGCCCAAACCAACAAGCUUGCUUGUUGGGGUUGUAGGACACUCUAUACGGAGUUACAAAGGACGACAUUAGACGAAUCAUCUGGAAAGAUGAAUCAAAGAAGGUAAUAAUCCUGUAGUCGAAAAUGUUGUCUCUCUUGAGUGGAUCCUGAGUACGACGGAGC
rnacentral:rRNA from 1 species